GUGCCAGCAGCCGCGGUAAAACCAGCACCUCGAGUGGUCAGGAGGUUUAUUGGGCCUAAAGCAUCCGUAGCCGGUUGCACAAGUUUCCGGUUAAAUCCACAUGCUUAACAUUUGGGCUGCCGGAAAUACUGUGCAACUAGGGAGUGGGAGAGGUAGGCGGUACUCGGUAGGAAGGGGUAAAAUCCUUUGAUCUAUUGAUGACCACCUGUGGCGAAGGCGGUCUACCAGAACACGUUCGACGGUGAGGGAUGAAAGCUGGGGGAGCAAACCGGAUUAGAUACCCGGGUAGUCCCAGCUGUAAACGAUGCAGACUCGGUGAUGCAUUGGCUUAUGGCCAGUGCAGUGCCGCAGAGAAGUCGUUAAGUCUGCCGCCUGGGAAGUACGUACGCAAGUAUGAAACUUAAAGGAAUUGGCGGGGGAGCACCACAAGGGGUGAAGCCUGCGGUUCAAUUGGAGUCAACGCCAGAAAUCUUACCCGGGGCGACAGCAGAAUGAAGGUCAAGCUGAAGACUUUACCAGACAAGCUGAGAGGUGGUGCAUGGCCGUCGCCA
rnacentral:rRNA from 1 species